GAUGAACGCUGGCGGCGUGCUUAACACAUGCAAGUCGAACGGGAAUUACUUUAUUGAAACUUCGGUCGAUUUAAUUUAAUUCUAGUGGCGGACGGGUGAGUAACGCGUGGGUAACCUGCCUUAUACAGGGGGAUAACAGUCAGAAAUGGCUGCUAAUACCGCAUAAGCGCACAGAGCUGCAUGGCUCAGUGUGUAAAACUCCGGUGGUAUAAGAUGGACCCGCGUUGGAUUAGCUAGUUGGUGGGGUAACGGCCCACCAAGGCGACGAUCCAUAGCCGGCCUGAGAGGGUGAACGGCCACAUUGGGACUGAGACACGGCCCAGACUCCUACGGGAGGCAGCAGUGGGGAAUAUUGCACAAUGGGGGAAACCCUGAUGCAGCGACGCCGCGUGAAGGAAGAAGUAUCUCGGUAUGUAAACUUCUAUCAGCAGGGAAGAUAGUGACGGUACCUGACUAAGAAGCCCCGGCUAACUACGUGCCAGCAGCCGCGGUAAUACGUAGGGGGCAAGCGUUAUCCGGAUUUACUGGGUGUAAAGGGAGCGUAGACGGUGUGGCAAGUCUGAUGUGAAAGGCAUGGGCUCAACCUGUGGACUGCAUUGGAAACUGUCAUACUUGAGUGCCGGAGGGGUAAGCGGAAUUCCUAGUGUAGCGGUGAAAUGCGUAGAUAUUAGGAGGAACACCAGUGGCGAAGGCGGCUUACUGGACGGUAACUGACGUUGAGGCUCGAAAGCGUGGGGAGCUU
rnacentral:rRNA from 1 species